CGAACGGCGGGGGAGUCAGGAGGGCUGAGAGAGGGAGAGGGAUUGCUCAAUCUCUGUCAGCGCAGCGCACGUCUGAGAGGAUUACCCCGUCGGCGGGGGCGGGGGGGGGGGAGCACGGAUCACACCGCUUCACACUCCUCCAAGCCACAAAGGACUACCACUGGGGGGAGAAAUUAAAAAGCAAGCGUAUAAUAAUAAAAAAAUUGCAUUUUUAUUUAAUCAUAUUUUUUUAUUUCAGUGACUGAAUGUGUGUUUAUUUCAAAGUUAAUCUCUCCUGAGAGGGAGUUCAGCGCUUCUUGCAUAACUAAAAUGGAAUUUAUAAGUAUUGUUUUAUUCCCUUCUCUUUCAUCACCAAACACCCCCCACCCACCCACCCACACACACACACACACAGCACACAUACACACAUUCAAGUUAUUGCAUGACAUACCAGCAUCAUUUAAAUAUUUUCAAACUCCCCCCCCUUAUAAAAAACCUUGAUAUAAUUCAUCACACUCGGGUCAGAGAUAAAGCCUUUGAUUUAGCAGUUUCUUUUCUCCCUGCACUACUGUAACACAACGGGAAACAAAAUUACCAAUGAAAUCACUGUGUACCGUAUGCCACAAAAGAAUUUGAAUAUAUACAUACAAUUAAGGAGGGACAAACUCUACUCCUCCUGCAUAGUAAGACGGAACACAAAGCAAAUUAAACCGUCAAUCAGUGAGUGUGUCUGGGGAUUGAUGAGCAGCGGUAAACCGAGUUUUCUCCUCCGGGGAGACGCUAAAUUAGGCUGCUGAUGUGCAGUGAUUCUCUGUGUGAGCGAGUGCGUUGAAAUGCGCAUUUCAGUGAAACGUUCAGGCCAUCCUGCUCCGGGCGGAAGCCACGGAGGGAACAGAAAACUGUUUUGAUUGACAGCUGGUAGAAACACUAAUAGAGAAGAGGGUGGGGGGUGGGGGGAGGGGGUGUUCAGCAAUUCCCCAGAGCUUAGCUCUUGGAGACCAAGACGAUACUAAGUAUUAAUUAAAUUAUUAUUAAAUGAGGUUGGCCCACAAUUUUUUUUUAAAGAAUACAAUAUAUUUAUGUUUUUUUUAUUUAUUGGGAACGUUUAUUGGGAUUUAUUUUUCUGUCUCUCGCUCAGCUAAUAUCUCGUUCAACCAUAUCAUGCCAUACCACACAGUACAGUAACAUGCUACCAUCACUGGUUCACAUGCAGUACAGUAACAUCCUACAAUUACAUGAUUACAUGCAGUACAGUACAAUCACAGGUUCACAUGCAGUAACAUGCUACAAUCACAGUAUCACAGGCAGUACAGUAACAUGCUACAAUCACAGUAUCACAGGCAGUACAGUAACAUGCUACAAUCACAGUAUCACAGGCAGUACAGUAACAUGCUACAAUCACAGUAUCACAGGCAGUACAGUAACAUGCUACAAUCACUGGUUAACACACAGUACAGUUACAUGCUACAAUCACAGUAUCACAGGCAGUACAGUAACAUGCUACAAUCACAGUAUCACAGGCAGUACAGUAACAUGCUACAAUCACAGUAUCACAGGCAGUACAGUAACAUGCUACAAUCACUGUAUCACAGGCAGUACAGUUACAUGCUACAAUCACAGUAUCACAGGCAGUACAGUAACAUGCUACAAUCAACAGAUCACAGGCAGUACAGUAACAUGCUACAAUCACAGUAUCACAGGCAGUACAGUAACAUGCUACAGUCAUAGACUUCCAUGUCUUUUUUUCUAUGAGUGUCAUGCACUCAUAUGGAGACCAUGAGUGGCUAGGCAUCCUCUGAUGGUUUAUUGAUGCGUUUAUUGUCUCUCUCUUGGUUGGUCUGUUCCAUUGCAUUGCGAUAUUUGGUUUUCUUGUUUGUUACAUUUCGAUGUACUGUUCCGUAUACUGACUUUUUUGUACAAUAACUGAGUGAGAAUGUAUCAUGGGAAAAAAUUGUACAGUAGUUCUUUUAUUUCCAUGUUUGGAAAAAGUGAGAAGGUGCUUUACUGUAUCGUUACAACAUAAGCGUGUACUUGAUUUGCAUAGUCACGUUUCUCACCUGAAGUUGUAGAAAAAAAGAAAAUAUGUUCUGUGGUCAAAGAUUUUGCUACAAAAAAGAUAAAUAUGAUAAAUUCCUAAGAA